GGCCGGGCGCGGAGGAGCGGCGUGGGCCCGGUGGCCCCGCGCAGCCUGCGGCGGCCCCAGCCGUUACCUUGGGCUUCUCCUCGGACAUGGCGGCGUCGGACGGGUCCGGCCUGGCGGGAGCGCGGAACAGGCACAGUCACGCUUUCAGCUCCCGCGUCUCUCCCGCCGCAACUGUCCGCGAGAACGCGCUUCGCCCCCCAAAUCCCAGGCCUCUGAUUGGCUCCGGCGGGACCACGUGCCGGUGCGCGCUCACGAGGCGCGCUCGCGAUCAAUGCCUCGUCGGGGGCGCGCUUUAGGGGCGGAGGCAGGUAGCGCUGGGAAGUGCGUCAUCGGGGAACCGGAAACGGCGGAGGAGGACGCCAACGGGGGGGAGGGGCGAAGAAUUACUGCAUGUGUACCAUAUGAUUUGCAGCAGUUAUCCUUAAAAAGCAUUCCUUGAAUUGGUACAGCCGCUAGUGAUGGGAUGACAGAGGUCACCUGCAAACAGGUCAGUUAUUUUAGCAAUGAAGAUAGCUAGGGCCAGACAAGACUGAACCCUAACCAGUAUAACAAUUUGUAAGCAAUGGUAUAGGAAAUCUGUGGUCUUCCAGGUACUCCGCCGUUGUCACUCUGUUGCACAACAUGGCCUCUCAGAACUUCCUGGAGUCAAACUAGAGCUGCUGCUCGAAAAGCACAGGCCCCUACUUCUUGAGAUAAUUAAGAAACUGAGCAGUAAAUGAUAACUUAGUGAAACAGUUCUGAUUCUCUCCAGUAGAGGACAGUGACACACAUACGUUGUAUGCAGCAUAGUUGUAGCUGGGGGGGUCCCAGGAUAUUAGAAGUUAGUCCGGUAAAAGAUAUUACCUCACCCAUCUUGUCUGUCUAGUGAUACACAUAAACCAUUGUCCCAAGGUUAUUUUCAUAAGAAUUUUUUCUCCUGAGCUACCUCCCCCCAUUCAUAAUUGUACAAACCACCCCUUCCAUUGACUAAUAAUAAAUAAUACCUAGCUGUUA